ACCUACAGGACAAAACAAUCAGAGUCACAGGCUGCCGCUUCAACACACACACCUGAACACACACCUGAGCUCUGAUGAGACAUGACGUCAUCACAUCCCAGGACCAAUAUCAUGUCAUUAAUCAAAGUUAAAUAAGGAAACUGUCAAGAAAGAUUUAGCUUAAAAGUUAAACCCGGUUCAGAUUCUAACAUGAUUUCACAUGAAGAUUGAGUUUAAAUUUAAAAUGUUCUGUUCAUUUUUUCACCACAAUCCAAGAAACUCAGGUAGAAUUGGUCUUACAAAGAAAGAAAAACAUGACUCACUUCAUGUUCUUUGAUCAAAAAGAAGAAAAAGCAGCAAACACCCACUCACAUUUCAAGUGUUGCUGCAGUCUGAGAACAUAAAGAACCAAACAUGUUUCUGUGGGGAAAAAAUCUGAAAUUUACCCAAAUUCAAAAAAAAACAAGGCUUACAUUUCUCAAAAAUUGUUUAUUUACGUUAAAAAUGGUUUUCUAUAAUUAUCUAAAGCUCGUGUUUGCGCCGUGUUAUUUUAAAGACGUGUAAUUUCAGGCACAAACUUUUAAUUCCAUUUCACUAUAAUUAGAGGUAAAAACAGACCAAAGCUGGUUAAGUGAAACAAGUUUGUUUUUCUCAUCACCAAAUGUUGAAAACAUUCACACAUGGUUGGAAAAUGAACAAACAUCAGAAGCUAAUGUCAUAAAAACUGAAGUGAAACCUAAAUGUUUCCAUCAGGAACAUGAAUAAAUAUUAUUAAACCUUAUGGAGCAUCUAAUGCAACAAUCUUCAGUCUUAAGUUUCACCUUUACCUCCCUGAGACAAACAGAACAAGAACAGUUCAAAUGUCUUUAAAUUUCUUGUAAAAUUCUACAAAAAAUACAUUUUCAGACUUCUAAGAAUAGACUUCUACACCUAAAGCACUAAAUGUUCUUAAACAGAUUCKGACUAAUUGAGUUCUGUCAGUGAAUCUUCAAGGUAAAAACCCUUUUCUUCAAAAACCCACUUCAAAGUUUCUAAAAGAUGCUUCAGUGCUUUAAGGAAAUCCGGACAAAAGGCAAUCAGAUUUUAAAAAUCUUUUCUGCUGAAAAAAAGGACAAUUAGCUCAUUAAAACYGAAUAAAAUGGACUGAUUAAUUAGUCAGAAAUUUAAAAGUUCAAUGCAACAGAAAUCCACGGAGAGGAGCCAAAUAAAGCAAAGUGCUGUUUAAUUAAAUUUCAGGAGACUGAAAGAAGUGGAGAUGAUUUUAUUGUUGAUUACAACCUGGUUUAGGUGAUCAUAGCUCACUGAAAAACAAACUGCUGAGAACAACAAAUGUCCAACUUAUAUUUAUAUGUUUAUGUGAUGAAACAUGAUGGGAAAUGUUUCAAAUAGCUUUCAAUGACACUUUUAGUGGCCUUUUAGCACUCAGGAUGUGUUAGGGAUGACUUUUAGCUACUACCACAGAUARUGUAGCUGUAAAAUGAAUGUAUUUAGCUCUGAGAGAUUUCAAAGGUUCARUGGUGCUGGUGGGGGUGAUAUGUGCWGGGUUGGCUAACAGAUAUAUAAUAUAUAAUGAAAUGAGAUUGGAUUCAAACAGAAGCRUCCAAUAUAAAAUUAUGAAAAUCUGCUGUAAAUCGACAUGUUUUUUAAGACAAACAUUAAACCAAGCUUAGCUGCAUUAAAAGGUUCCAGCUAGAAUUUAAACAGAAAAGGGAUUUGUUAGCUACGCUAGCCGUUAGCCAGUCAGAACAGUAGUUUUGCUGCUUUUCCUUUUGUCAAAUUUGAACAUCCUUUGGUCUGUCCACCUUCAACUUCCAAAAUAUAAACCCAUGGAGGAAAUUUCAGUAACUGAAAGAUCAAAAUGAAAAUGAUUCAUUUAAAUAAUAAUUACAAAAUAAAUACAGGCUAAAAUAAACACUUUCUUUCUGCAGGUGUGUGCGUGUCUGSUGCAUCUUUGGUGUAAACAAGUUUGUUCUUCAUUCGGUGAAGUUACACACAGCAGCAUUUGUCAGUAAACUUGCAGAAGUUUCAUGAACAGCACAAUAAAAACAUGUCCUGCUUCACCCCGCCUGCCUGUCGAACACAGACGGACAGAACAGCAGAACCAGCAGAACCAGCAAUCAGUCUCGGUGAAAGCCCCUCAUCAUUUCAGAGCCCCCCUCCCGCCUGACCCUCCUCCAACAUUUACAGAGUGAUCCACRCUCAGAGGGAAUGGAAGCAGGCACCUCCACGCCUCCACUGUUCCAGCAGCUCCUCUCUCUGCCGUCUCAAACAGCCAUGUUUCCACCGCUCUGCUGGGUGGCGGCCUCAGCCACCCACCUCUCCAUUAUCACCUCAUUAGUGGGCAUCAAAACCCGGCCCACCCCCCAUUUUGGCUCCAGCCUCAAUCAGCCCAUUAAUCACAGCAGAGCGGAGAAUCCUUCCGUCCUCUGAGAGCUCACUGUGUAUUCUGCCGGCCCCUGCUGUGUGUGCACGUGUGUGCACGUUUGUGCACGUGUGUGUGUGAGUGUGUGUGUGUGUGUUGGCAUGCUGGUGCAUACAAAUGAUGCGGCUACAGCCUGCCAUCUGUUGACUCCGAACAGUAAUGUCUCCAUGCCGUCAUGCAUGACACUCUCCCAUCAUUAGGCUGCUCUCUUAUCCUUUAGAAAAACAGAUUUUUAUAGAUUUGAAACAAAACUCAUGUUUCCUCCACCCUUAUGUAAAUAACACUUUGUGCACAUUAAAGGCAGAGACACUCA